GGCAGAUCCAUUUUCUGCACCGAAUACAUUAGCAUGGGAUAAUGGAAUAGGACCCUGUCCUCCUAUUUUCAGUUGGUUUUGGCAGCGCGAGGACUAGGGUAAUGAUUAAUAGGGAUAGUUGGGGGCAUUAAUAUUUAAUUGUCAGAGGUGAAAUUCUUGGAUUUAUGAAAGAUUAACUUCUGCGAAAGCAUCUGCCAAGGAUGUUUUCAUUAAUCAAGAACGAAAGUUAGGGGAUCGAAGACGAUCAGAUACCGUCGUAGUCUUAACCAUAAACGAUGCCGACCAGCGAUUAGGAGACGUUGAAUACAAAACACCACCAUCGGUGCGGUCGUCCUUGGCGCGUUGGUCUUCAAAAGCCAGCGCGCGGGGGCGGCUUAGCCCGGUGGCACCGGUGAAUGACUCCCCUAGCAGCUUGUGAGAA
rnacentral:rRNA from 1 species